ACUCCUGUGGUCUUACGAUUAAACCUCGCGAGCACGAGAGGAGGCGCCCGCGUCCGAUUAGCUAGUUGUAAGUAAAGCCUUACCAGGCGAGGAUCGGUAGCUGGUCGGAAGGAUGACCAGUCACACUGGACUGAGACACGUCAGACUCCUACGGGAGGCAGCAGUAGGAAUCUUCGCAAUGGGCGAAAGCCUGACGAGCAACGCCGCGUGCCGGAUGAAGGCCUUCGGGUCGUAAACGGCUUUAUGAGGGAAGAAUAUGACGGUACCUCAGGAAUAAGGAUCGGCUAACUACGUGCCAGCAGCCGCGGUCAUACGUAGGAUCCAAGCGUUAUCCGGAAUUAUUGGGCGUAAAGAGUUGUGUAGGCUGCGUGUUAAGUGAAAUGUGAAAUUUUGUGGCUCAACCACAAGAGUGCAUUUCAUACUGACAUGCUAGAGAGCAGUAGAGGUAGUUGGAAUUCCCGGUGUAGGAGUGAAAUCCGUAGAUAUCGGGAGGAACACCAAUGGCGUAGGCAGACUACUGGACUGUUUCUGACGCUGAGACACGAAAGCGUGGGUAGCGAACGGGAUUAGAUACCCCGGUAGUCCACGCUGUAAACGAUGGAUGCUAGCUGUUGAACGUAUCGACUCGUUCAGUAGCGAAGCUAACGCGUUAAGCAUCCCGCCUAGGGACUACGAGCGCAGGCUUAAAACUUAAAGGAAUUGACGGGGACCCGCACAAGCGGUGGAGCGUGUGGUUUAAUUCGAUGAUACGCGAAGAACCUUACCAAGGUUUGACAUCCUGGUCAUAGAUUUUAGAAAUAAAAUUGUCAGUCCGGCUGGACCAGUGACAGGUGCUGCAUGGCCGUCGUCAGCUCGUGUCGUGAGAUGUCGGGUUAAGUCCCUAAACGAGCGCAACCCUUGUCGUUAGUUAUAUAUGUCUAGCGAGACCGCCCUGGCAACGGGGAGGAAGGAGGGGAUGAUGUCAAGUCAGUAUUGCCCUUACACCUUGGGCUACACACACGCUAAAAUGGCCGGUACAACGGGCAGCGAAGUCGCGAGACGUAGCUAAUCCCAUCAAAGCCGGUCUCAGUUCGGAUUGCAAGCUGCAACGCGCCUGCAUGAAGCCGGAAUCCUAGUAUCGUAAGUCAGCAUACUACGGUGAAUACGUCUCGGGUCUUGUAACACCGCCCGUCACGAAAUGGAGUCCGAGGGCCCGAAGUGACUACUGGCUAGGUAUUAAAGCGAAACCGAUGACUGGGUCGAAGUCGUAACAAGGUAACC
rnacentral:rRNA from 1 species